rnacentral:rRNA from 1 species
UACGUAGGGGGCAAGCGUUGUCCGGAAUCAUUGGGCGUAAAGAGCGUGUAGGCGGCCUUAUAAGUCGGCUGUGAAAGUCAAGGGCUCAACCCUUGAAUGCCGGCCGAUACUGUGAGGCUAGAGUCCGGAAGAGGCGAGUGGAAUUCCUGGUGUAGCGGUGAAAUGCGCAGAUAUCAGGAGGAACACCGAUGGCGAAGGCAGCUCGCUGGGACGGUACUGACGCUGAGACGCGAAAGCGUGGGGAGCAAACAGG